UCCGGCUUAUCACCGGCGGUUUCUUUAGAGUGCCCAACUAAAUGAUGGCAACUAAAGACGAGGGUUGCGCUCGUUGCGGGACUUAACCCAACAUCUCACGACACGAGCUGACGACAACCAUGCACCACCUGUAAACCGACCGCAAGCGGGGCACCUGUUUCCAGGUGUUUCCGGUUCAUGUCAAGCCCAGGUAAGGUUCUUCGCGUUGCGUCGAAUUAAACCACAUGCUCCGCUGCUUGUGCGGGUCCCCGUCAAUUCCUUUGAGUUUUAGCCUUGCGGCCGUACUCCCCAGGCGGGGCACUUAAUGCGUUAGCUACGGCACGGGAGGAGUCGACACCUCCCACACCUAGUGCCCAUCGUUUACGGCUGGGACUAC
rnacentral:misc_RNA from 1 species